rnacentral:rRNA from 1 species
UACGUAGGUCCCGAGCGUUGUCCGGAUUUAUUGGGCGUAAAGCGAGCGCAGGUGGUUUAUUAAGUCUGGUGUAAAAGGCAGUGGCUCAACCAUUGUAUGCAUUGGAAACUGGUAGACUUGAGUGCAGGAGAGGAGAGUGGAAUUCCAUGUGUAGCGGUGAAAUGCGUAGAUAUAUGGAGGAACACCGGUGGCGAAAGCGGCUCUCUGGCCUGUAACUGACGCUGAGGCACGAAGGCCGGGGGAGUGAAAGGG